GAUGAACGCUGGCGGCGUGCCUAAUACAUGCAAAUCGAGCGAACGGACGAGAAGCUUGCUUCUCUGAUGUUAGCGGCGGACGGGUGAGUAACACGUGGAUAACCUACCUAUAAGACUGGGAUAACUUCGGGAAACCGGAGCUAAUACCGGAUAAUAUUUUGAACCGCAUGGUUCAAAAGUGAAAGACGGUCUUGCUGUCACUUAUAGAUGGAUCCGCGCUGCAUUAGCUAGUUGGUAAGGUAACGGCUUACCAAGGCAACGAUGCAUAGCCGACCUGAGAGGGUGAUCGGCCACACUGGAACUGAGACACGGUCCAGACUCCUACGGGAGGCAGCAGUAGGGAAUCUUCCGCAAUGGGCGAAAGCCUGACGGAGCAACGCCGCGUGAGUGAUGAAGCUCUUCGGAUCGUAAAACUCUGUUAUUAGGGAAGAACAUAUGUGUAAGUAACUGUGCACAUCUUGACGGUACCUAAUCAGAAAGCCACGGCUAACUACGUG
rnacentral:rRNA from 1 species